rnacentral:lncRNA from 1 species
UAACCAUGACUGUACUGUAGGUCUACUAACCAUGACUGACUGUAGGUCUACAAACCAUGACUGUAGGUCUAUUAACCAUGUCUGUACUGUAGGUCUACUAACCAUGUCUGUACUGUAGGUCUACUAACCAUGUCUGUACUGUAUGUCUGCUAACCAUGUCUGUACUGUAGGUCUACUAACCAUGUCUGUACUGUAGGUCUAGUAACCAUGUCUGUACUGUAGGUCUAGUAACCAUGUCUGUACUGUAGGUCUGUUAACCAUGUCUGUACUGUAGGUCUACUAACCAUUACUGUACUGUAGGUCUAGUAACCAUGUCUGUACUGUAGGUCUACUAACCAUGUCUGUACUGUAGGUCUACUGGGUGUAGGUCUACUAACCAUGUCUGUACUGUAGGUCUACUAACCAUGUCUGUACUGUAGGUCUACUAACCAUGACUGACUGUAGGUCUACUAACCAUGUCUGUACUGUAGGUCUCCUAACCAUGACUGUACUGUAGGUCUACUAACCAUGUCUGUACUGUAGGACUACUAACCAUGUCUGUACUGUAGGUCUACUAACCAUGACUGUACUGUAGGCCUACUAACCAUUACUGUACUGUCGGUCUACAAACCAUGACUGUACUGUAGGUCUACUAACCAUGACUAUAGGCCUACUAACCAAGUCUGUACUGUAGGUCUAUUAACCAUGUCUGUACUGUAGGCCUACUAACCAAGUCUGUACUGUAGGUCUACUAACCAUGUCUGUACUGUAGGUCUAGUAACCAUGUCUGUACUGUAGGUCUACUAACC